UACGUAGGUGGCAAGCGUUAUCCGGAAUUAUUGGGCGUAAAGAGCUCGUAGGCGGUUUGUCGCGUCUGCUGUGAAAACCCGGGGCUUAACCCCGGGCCUGCAGUGGGUACGGGCAGACUAGAGUGCGGUAGGGGAGACUGGAAUUCCUGGUGUAGCGGUGAAAUGCGCAGAUAUCAGGAAGAACACCUAUGGCGAAGGCAGCUCUCUGGGACGGUACUGACGCUGAGACGCGAAAGCGUGGGGAGCGAACAGG
rnacentral:rRNA from 1 species